GAUGAACGCUGGCGGCGUGCCUAAUACAUGCAAGUCGAGCGAACAGACGAGGAGCUUGCUCCUCUGACGUUAGCGGCGGACGGGUGAGUAACACGUGGAUAACCUACCUAUAAGACUGGGAUAACUUCGGGAAACCGGAGCUAAUACCGGAUAAUAUAUUGAACCGCAUGGUUCAAUAGUGAAAGACGGUUUUGCUGUCACUUAUAGAUGGAUCCGCGCCGCAUUAGCUAGUUGGUAAGGUAACGGCUUACCAAGGCGACGAUGCGUAGCCGACCUGAGAGGGUGAUCGGCCACACUGGAACUGAGACACGGUCCAGACUCCUACGGGAGGCAGCAGUAGGGAAUCUUCCGCAAUGGGCGAAAGCCUGACGGAGCAACGCCGCGUGAGUGAUGAAGGUCUUCGGAUCGUAAAACUCUGUUAUUAGGGAAGAACAAAUGUGUAAGUAACUAUGCACGUCUUGACGGUACCUAAUCAGAAAGCCACGGCUAACUACGUGCCAGCAGCCGCGGUAAUACGUAGGUGGCAAGCGUUAUCCGGAAUUAUUGGGCGUAAAGCGCGCGUAGGCGGUUUUUUAAGUCUGAUGUGAAAGCCCACGGCUCAACCGUGGAGGGUCAUUGGAAACUGGAAAACUUGAGUGCAGAAGAGGAAAGUGGAAUUCCAUGUGUAGCGGUGAAAUGCGCAGAGAUAUGGAGGAACACCAGUGGCGAAGGCGACUUUCUGGUCUGUAACUGACGCUGAUGUGCGAAAGCGUGGGGAUCAAACAGGAUUAGAUACCCUGGUAGUCCACGCCGUAAACGAUGAGUGCUAAGUGUUAGGGGGUUUCCGCCCCUUAGUGCUGCAGCUAACGCAUUAAGCACUCCGCCUGGGGAGUACGACCGCAAGGUUGAAACUCAAAGGAAUUGACGGGGGCCCGCACAAGCGGAGGAACAUGUGGUUUAAUUCGAUGAUACGCGAGGAACCUUACCCGGGCUUAAAUUGCAGAUGAAUUACGGUGAAAGCCGUAAGCCGCAAGGCAUCUGUGAAGGUGCUGCAUGGUUGUCGUCAGCUCGUGCCGUGAGGUGUCGGCUUAAGUGCCAUAACGAGCGCAACCCUUGUUGUCAGUUACUAACAGGUUUUGCUGAGGACUCUGACAAGACCGCCAUCGUAAGAUGUGAGGAAGGUGGGGAUGACGUCAAAUCAGCACGGCCCUUACGUCCGGGGCUACACACGUGUUACAAUGGGGGGUACAGAGGGCCGCUACCACGCGAGUGGAUGCCAAUCCCCAAAACCUCUCUCAGUUCGGACUGGAGUCUGCAACCCGACUCCACGAAGCUGGAUUCGCUAGUAAUCGCGCAUCAGCCACGGCGCGGUGAAUACGUUCCCGGGCCU
rnacentral:rRNA from 1 species